GACGAACGCUGGCGGCGUGCCUAAUACAUGCAAGUAGAACGCACAGUUUAUACCGUAGCUUGCUACACCAUAAACUGUGAGUUGCGAACGGGUGAGUAACGCGUAGGUAACCUGCCUGGUAGCGGGGGAUAACUAUUGGAAACGAUAGCUAAUACCGCAUAAUAUUAAUUAUUGCAUGAUAAUUGAUUGAAAGAUGCAAUUGCAUCACUACCAGAUGGACCUGCGUUGUAUUAGCUAGUAGGUGAGGUAACGGCUCACCUAGGCGACGAUACAUAGCCGACCUGAGAGGGUGAUCGGCCACACUGGGACUGAGACACGGCCCAGACUCCUACGGGAGGCAGCAGUAGGGAAUCUUCGGCAAUGGACGAAAGUCUGACCGAGCAACGCCGCGUGAGUGAAGAAGGUUUUCGGAUCGUAAAGCUCUGUUGUAAGAGAAGAACGGGUGUGAGAGUGGAAAGUUCACACUGUGACGGUAUCUUACCAGAAAAGGACGGCUAACUACGU
rnacentral:rRNA from 1 species